CCUACGGGAGGCAGCAGUGAGGAAUAUUGGUCAAUGGACGAGAGUCUGAACCAGCCAAGUAGCGUGAAGGAUGACUGCCCUAUGGGUUGUAAACUUCUUUUAUAUGGGAAUAAAAUGUUCCACGGGGGGGAUUUUGUAUGUACCAUAUGAAUAAGGAUCGGCUAACUCCGUGCCAGCAGCCGCGGUAAUACGGAGGAUCCUAGCGUUAUCCGGAUUUAUUGGGUUUAAAGGGAGCGUAGGUGGACUGUUAAGUCAGUGGUGAAAGUUUGCGGCUCAACCGUAAAAUUGCAGUUGAAACUGGCAGUCUUGAGUACAGUAGAGGUGGGCGGAAUUCGUGGUGUAGCGGUGAAAUGCUUAGAUAGCACGAAGAACUCCGAUUGCGAAGGCAGUUCACUGGACUGCAACUGACACUGAGGCUCGAAAGUGUGGGUAUCAAACAGGAGUAGAUACCCUGGUAGUC
rnacentral:rRNA from 1 species